UUCUAGUUUGUCCCUGCUCCCUUUCUUGUGAAUGAUUGUGACUAACCCUGUUGUCAUUCUAGCUGGCAUCUGACCCUUCUCUUCUAUCUCCCUAAAUAAUCUCUCUAACACAGGCACUAAUUCUUCCCUAAACUCCAUGUAAAACUCCCCUAUGAUCCCAUCUAUCCCUGGACUCUUGUUCCUCCCUAACCCUGCUAUGGCUGCCUCUAUCUCUCCUGUCCCUAUCUGUCCCUCACACAUCUCCCUCUGCUCUUCACUCAGUCUGCCUUUCACCAGCUCUAGCACCUGCUCUAAGCUGCACUCAUCUAUCUCUUCUUUCCUAAAUAGUUCCCUAUAAAAUUCCUCCACUCUUCCUGCUAUCCCUACAAAGUCUGUGAUCUUCUCCCCCCCCUUUCCUUCUACCUGCUCUAAAUAGUUCUUCCUCUGCUUCACCUUCUCUAGGCCUAAAAAAAACCCAGUUGCUCUCUCUCCCUCCAUGACGUAUCUGGCCCUGCUCCUAACUAUUGCUCCUGCACAUCUCUUCUGUUCUAUCUCCUUCAGUUCUUGUUUCAGUCUCAUAAACUCCCCUAUAUCUCUCCCUUCCUCCCUGCCUACUCUCUCUGCUUCUGUUUGCAUUUCUCCUUUAAGUCUCCUCUCUCUCUCUCUCUCUAUCCUAUUCCUAAUCCUACCAUAUCUUAUACUGAUUUUCUUUAUUUCCUCUUUAAGCUCCUCCCACCACUUCCCGAUGUCCUGCACAUACAUGCUGUGAUUCAUUCUCUUUCGUACACAUUCUCUCACUCUGUCCUUGUAUUUCUCCUCUUUCAGCAUUGCUCCGUUCAUACACCACACUCCACCCCUUCUCCUCUCGUGCCCCUGCCCUAAACUGAACCUUAGCGCCCUGUGAUCACUGAGUGUUGUUGUUUGAUAUUCUAUGUUGCCUAUUUUCCAAGCUAUGUCCCUCGUGCUCAGUAUUAGGUCAAUCCUGCUUUGUUUUAACACCCCCUUCACCACCUGUGUUCUUGUAAAUUCCCUCUCCUCUGGGUUUCUUUCUCUCCACACAUCAAUCAUCUCAUUCACUCUCAUCAUUUCUUUGAAUACUCCCCUGGACAUGUCACUCCUGUAAUUCAUAUUCUCAGAUGCAUCCAGUCUUCCACACCACACAUUGAAAUCUCCGACAAUCAGACAGUCUUUCCCGCUCAUUCUUCCCAUUCUCUCAAAAAACUCUUUCCUCUCUUUCUCCUCAUUUGGUGCAUACACGUUCAAUAGUUUAUACUCUUUCCCCUCGUGCUCAAACGUGAUCCCAAUCACUCUCCCCUCACCAUCAUCCACACACUUUCUCACAUUCUCAACCGCUCCCCUCUUCACUAGAAUUGCCACCCCUCUUGUUUUAUCUCCCCCAUUAUUGUUGUACAUUUCACCCAACCAUUCUCUCUUUACUACAUUCACACACCAUUCAUCCCAGUGAGUUUCUUGUAAGCAUAUGAUAUGGGCAUCGCAGGUCAUUAUGGCUGCAUGUCUCCUUGCUUUACACCGGAGUCCAUUUGCAUUAAAGGAGGAGAUAGUUAUCAUUAAGGUAAAAAGAAAAAAAGAAGGCCCGAAAUAAGUCGAAGAUGAACCAAUCUGUCGUUGUUGGUGUUUUGUUUUGUUUUGUUCUGAACAUACUUUUCAUGUUUUCUUUAAUUUCCCAAAAACUGCUUCCCUUCUUCCUCUCUGCCUUUUUCUAUUUUUAACCAUAUCUUCCAUGUCCUCCAAGUCAUCCCCUGACUCCCCUGUUUCCCCACUGUCGUAUUCCCCUCCUCCCCCCGCCUUAAUGUCCCUCUCCCCAGUGUCCUCACCUCCUCCCCCCAUUGUCUCUGCUUCUCCUCCUUUCACCAGCUCCUCCCCUCCUCUCUCCUCCCGACAGCAUGGCCCAAGAGGCUCUGUCUUUGCGCCCCCAGUCUGUUCCCUCUCUUCUUCUGCGUUGGUUGUGCUCCGCCGACACUCCUCCUCUCUCCUCUCCGUCUGCUCUCCUCCCUCCUCUUCUCCCUCGCCCUCGCCUCCUCCGUCCUCUUCUCCUCCCUCCUCGACUCCUCUGUCCUCGUCUCCUCCCUCCUC